CUACGGGCCGCUACAGUGAGGAAUAUUGCACAAUGGGGGGAACCCUGAUGCAGCAACGCCGCGUGGAGGAUGACGCAUUUCGGUGUGUAAACUCCUUUUAUAUGUCAAGAAAAUGACGGUAGCAUAUGAAUAAGCACCGGCUAACUCCGUGCCAGCAGCCGCGGUAAUACGGAGGGUGCAAGCGUUACUCGGAAUCACUGGCGUAAAGGACGCGUAGGCGGGUUGGAAAGUCAGGUGUGAAAUCCUACAGCUUAACUGUAGAACUGCACUUGAAACUUCUAAUCUAGAGUAUGGGAGGGGGAGAUGGAAUUAGUGGUGUAGGGGUAAAAUCCGUAGAUAUCACUAGGAAUACCUAAAGCGAAGGCGAUCUCCUGGAACAUUACUGACGCUAAGGCGUGAAAGCGUGGGGAGCAAACAGGAUUAGAUACCCGGGUAGUC
rnacentral:rRNA from 1 species